rnacentral:rRNA from 1 species
CGGGCUGGCGGCGUGCUAUACAUGCAGUCGAGCGGACAGAUGGGAGCUUGCUCCCUGAUGUUAGCGGCGGACGGGUGAGUAACACGUGGGUAACCUGCCUGUAAGACUGGGAUAACUCCGGGAAACCGGGGCUAAUACCGGAUGGUUGUUUGAACCGCAUGGUUCAAACAUAAAAGGUGGCUUCGGCUACCACUUACAGAUGGACCCGCGGCGCAUUAGCUAGUUGGUGAGGUAACGGCUCACCAAGGCAACGAUGCGUAGCCGACUGAGAGGGUGAUCGGCCACACUGGACUGAGACACGGCCCAGACUCCUACGGGAGGCAGCAGUAGGGAUCUCGCAUGGACGAAAGUCUGACGGAGCAACGCCGCGUGAGUGAUGAAGGUUUCGGAUCGUAAAGCUCUGUGUAGGGAAGAACAAGUACCGUUCGAAUAGGGCGGUACCUUGACGGUACCUAACCAGAAAGCCACGGCUAACUACGUGCCAGCAGCCGCGGUAAUACGUAGGUGGCAAGCGUUGUCCGGAAUUAUUGGGCGUAAAGGGCUCGCAGGCGGUUUCUUAAGUCUGAUGUGAAAGCCCCCGGCUCAACCGGGGAGGGUCAUUGGAAACUGGGGAACUUGAGUGCAGAAGAGGAGAGUGGAAUUCCACGUGUAGCGGUGAAAUGCGUAGAGAUGUGGAGGAACACCAGUGGCGAAGGCGACUCUCUGGUGUGUAACUGACGCUGAGGAGCGAAAGCGUGGGGAGCGAACAGGAUUAGAUACCCUGGUAGUCCACGCCGUAAAACUCCGCCUGGGGAGUACGGUCGCAAGACUGAAACUCAAAGGAAUUGACGGGGGCCCGCAACUCCGCCUGGGGAGUACGGUCGCAAGACUGAAACUCAAAGGAAUUGACUGGGGCCCGCACAAGCGGUGGAGCAUGUGGUUUAAUUCGAAGCAACGCGAGAACCUUACCAGGUCUUGACAUCCUCUGACAAUCCUAGAGAUAGGACGUCCCCUUCGGGGGCAGAGUGACAGUGUGCAUGGUUGUCGUCAGCUCGUGUCGUGAGAUGUGGGUUAGUCCCGCACGAGCGCAACCCUGAUCUUAGUUGCCAGCAUUCAGUGGGCACUCUAGGUGACUGCCGGUGACAACCGGAGAGUGGGGAUGACGUCAAAUCAUCAUGCCCUUAUGACCUGGGCUACACACGUGCUCACAAUGGACAGAACAAAGGGCAGCGAAACCGCGAGGUUAAGCCAAUCCCACAAAUCUGUUCUCAGUUCGGAUCGCAGUCUGCAACUCGACUGCGUGAAGCUGGAAUCGCUAGUAAUCGCGGAUCAGCAUGCCGCGGUGAAUACGUUCCCGGGCCUUGUACACACCGCCCGUCACACCACGAGAGUUUGUAACACCCGAAGUCGGUGAGGUAACCUUUUAGGAGCCAGCCGCCGAAGUGACAGAUGUG